UGAUAAGGAUCGGAGACGUGCGUCACUUCCCAAUGAAAUGGGUCUGUCGUUAUUUCAUUUUAUGAGCGGAACAAUUAAAUAAAUGGCGUCUUUAAAAAUCAGUAUACUAUUAUUACUUUAUGGGAUUUUUGCAGAUAAUUCGUUUUACAGAACAAUCUAUUCGCGACGCUGUUACCACUGUGUGCACCACUCAGACAUGUUAUCUGUCUUCUCAACAGUCUGCUGUUUGGACAAUCAUAUAGCCUGAUGAAAGUUUGCUUAGCGAGCAGUGUCAGCCUGAACAAUGUUACGACACUGAUGUUGGAUACACAUGUACAUGCCAAAAAGGAUAUGAAGAUAGUAAUCUGCAUGUAUACCUUCCCGCAACUAUUGUACCUGUUGUUGGAGUAUCACUUGCCAUACUGGGUGUUUGCGUUUAUUGUCGGCAAUAUAGAAAGAAACAACAACUUGACAUUGCAAAGCAAUGGAUAAUAAUAAAGUGUGACGUUCUCUUUGUUAUCGACGCUAAGGACGAAUUUAAAAGAUAUACAGAACAGUCGAUGAUUGCUCUUAGAGUGACAGUUAAAGAUAUAUUAGACAUUUACGAAUUAAGUCUACGUGGACUGUGGACACCUAAGACGAUCGAUUUUUAAAGGGGACCGUCU
rnacentral:lncRNA from 1 species